rnacentral:rRNA from 1 species
AACGAACGCUGGCGGCAGGCUUAACACAUGCAAGUCGAACGGGUGCAGCAAUGCAUCAGUGGCAGACGGGUGAGUAACACGUGGGAACCUUCCUAGGGGUACGGAACAACUCAGGGAAACUUGAGCUAAUACCGUAUACGUCCGUAAGGAGAAAGAUUCAUCGCCCCUAGACGGGCCCGCGUCGGAUUAGGUAGUUGGUGGGGUAACGGCCUACCAAGCCUGCGAUCCGUAGCUGAUCUGAGAGGAUGAUCAGCCACACUGGGACUGAGACACGGCCCAGACUCCUACGGGAGGGCAGCAGUGGGGAAGUCUUGGACAAUGGGCGCAAGCCUGAUCCAGCCAUGCCGCGUGAGUGAAGAAGGCCUUAGGGUUGUAAAGCUCUUUUACCAGGGACGAUAAUGACGGUACCUGGAGAAUAAGCCCCGGCAAACUUCGUGCCAGCAGCCGCGGUAAU